AGGGUUCGAUUAUGGCUCAGAUUGAACGCUGGCGGUAGGCUUAACACAUGCAAGUCAUGCGAGAAAGUAUCUUCGGAUAUGAGUAGAGCGGCGGACGGGUGAGUAACGCGUAGGAAUCUACCUAGUAGAAGGGGAUAGCCCGGGGAAACCCGGAUUAAUACCGUAUACCUCCUUCGGGAGAAAGAAGGCCUCUCUUUGAAGCUUUCGCUAUUAGGUGAGCCUGCGUAAGAUUAGCUUGUUGGCGAGGUAAAGGCUCACCAAGGCGACGAUCUUUAGCUGGUCUGAGAGGACGAUCAGCCACAUUGGGACUGAGAACACGGUCCAAGACUCUCUACGGGAGGCAGCAGUGUGGAAUAUUGGACAAUUGGCGCAAGCCUGAUCCAGGCAUACGGCGUGUUGUGGAGAAGGCUUUCGGGUUGUAAAGGCACUUUAAGCAGGGAGAAAAAGUUAUUAAGUUAAUACCUUAUAACCGUGAUGUUACCUGCAGAAUAAGCACCGGCUAAUUCCGUGCCAGCAGCCGCGGUAAUACGGAAAGGUGCAAGCGUUAAUCGGAAUUACUGGGCGUAAAGCGCGCGUAGGUGGUUUGCUAAGUUGGAUGUUGAAAGCCCUGGGCUCAACGUAGGAACUGCAUCCAAAACUAACUCACUAGAGUACGAUAGAGGGAGGUAGAAAUUCAUAGUGUAGCGGUGGAAUGCGUAGAUAUUAUGAAGAAUACCAGUGGCGAAGGCGGCCUCCUGGAUCUGUACUGACACUGAGGUGCGAAAGCGUGGGUAGCGAACAGGAUUAGAUACCCUGGUAGUCCACGCCGUAAACGAUGACAACUAGCUGUUGGAAGACAAUGUCUUUCAGUGGCGCAGCUAACGUUUUAAGUUGUCCGCCUGGGGAGUACGGCCGCAAGGCUAAAACUCAAAUGAAUUGACGGGGACCCGCACAAGCGGUGGAGCAUGGUGGUUUAAUUCGAUGCAACGCGAAAAACCUUACCUACUCUUGACAUACUUGGCAGCUCUUGUAAUGAGAGUGUGCCUUUUGGAGCCAAGAUACAGGUGCUGCAUGGCUGUCGUCAGCUCGUGUCGUGAGAUGUUCCGUUAAGUCGGAUACCGAGCGCAACCCUUACCCUUAUUUGCCAUCGAUUCGGUCGGGAACCUAUAAGGGGACUGUCGGUGAUAUAACCGGAGGAAGGUGAGGACGACGUCAAGUCAUCAUGGCCCUUACGAGUAGGGCUACACACGUGCCACAAUGGCGGCGACAGAGGGUUGCGAGCUCGCGAGGGCAAGCUAAUCCCCAAAAGCCGUCUCAGUUCGGAUUGUUCUCUGCAACUCGAGAGCAUGAAGGUGGAAUCGCUAGUAAUCGCAGAUCAGCAUGCUGCGGUGAAUACGUUCCCGGGCCUUGUACACACCGCCCGUCACACCAUGGGAGUUGGUUCUACCCGAAGCUGGUGCGCUAACCUUUUAGGAGGCAGCCAACCACGGUAGGAUUAGCGACUGGGGUGAAGUCGUAACAAGGUAACC
rnacentral:rRNA from 1 species